CCUAUAAAUAUAUGGCUAGGUUUUCUCUCAUCUCUUUAGCCUUAUAGAAAUCGCCUCAUUUGACUGCUAGUUAUAGGAGAAGCAAUGAGAGGAAGACAAAGUUGAAUGCUCCACAUGUCUGAAACACACUUCCGCAAUGAUAAACAAGAUGGAUUCUACAUUUAUAAACAAGGUUACUUAGAAGAAAAAGGGAAAAAAGGAAGAAGGAACUUUUUGAAAAUUCAAAUACACGGCUUCGCUACAUCUUCUCGAUUAGCAUAAACACCACUUCACUGCCUCAUUAUCUUCCAUUACAAUGCUUGCCAGCCGCUUCUUCUUCUUCGACGAUCUCCACUGCCCAAGUAGCAUGAUCAACAAUGCGCGAUUUGAAUGUACAAAGGUCACUUUCAUUAUGGUACCAUCAAGCCAUCAAAAAGGAAAGAAGAGCAAUACAAGGGCUUCAAGGAAGGAAAGAAGGACUGCAAGGAAGGAAAGAAUCAAUCCAAGGAGAUCUGCAAUCCAUUAGAAGGAAAGAGAUCAAUCCAAGGAGAUGUGCAAAUCCAUCAACACUCCUUAGUUCAUGUAGGAGAACAUUAAAAGGAAAAGAGAUAAUCACUGCAAAUUUGGUAGAGGGAAUUAGACCCUUAUCUUUUGAAGGAAAGAAGAAUAAUCAUGGAAUAUCAAGAAGGAUUUCUGAAGACUCCUCAACGACUAAAGAUACAAAUUCAAGCUAGACUUUGUCCUUAUUGUUGGAAAGAAGGAUUCAUCUUUCUUCCAAGGAUCAAAUCCUUUGGGUUGCAAAAGUCAAUCCACACACUUUAUAAAUCACAAGAUCAGUGGUUGAGAAAAAUAUACAUUCGUCCAUCCAUUCUAUAAGCUUAUUUCUACUUUACUAAGCAUCACUAUUUCUUUGUGAAUUACUGUGUAAUCAAAAAGAGAAAAGAGUUUACUUGAGUGGUGAGGUAUUGUAUCAAAAGAUUGUGAAAAAGAAAGAGAGAACAAGAAAAAAAUUGAGUGUAGAUCUAGGAUCUACUUUACUUACCCUUGUAACCCAUUCACUAAGCUUAGUACAACACCCUUUCAACCCAAGGGCAUUGGACUAAGAUUCACAUCGGAUCCCAACUACUAUAAAAACAUUUGUCAUCACUUCUUCAUUCUGCUCUUUAAUUAUCUCUUUUCUAUUUAGUUAUUACAGAAAACUGG